GCAUCAACGCUUAGGAGCAUUGAUAUGUCAAAAAAAUUGAAAUGUUUUUUUAAAAUAUAAGUAGAUUUUUAUAUGUUUUCUUAUUCUAAGUCAAAAGGAGGCUAUUAUAAUUCGCGUUUUUCAAAAAUUUUUGCAAAUUUAAAUAAUUUUUCAUUCAACAUUUUCAUUCCCAAAAUUGGUUUGACAGUUCAUUGUCCCAGCAGCUGUGUCGAUGCGUCUACCUAUAUUCUUUUACCAUGGUUUGUACGAUACCCAAAGUAUUCAUGUACCAAUACUUAGUGUUUUUGGUUACUGGUUACCGUUUAUGUAUUCUUUGCUUGUUACUUUAUGUCACUUAUUUGUAGUAAUUUUAAAAGUUACAGCUGGAUGUUGUUUUUAUUAAAGAAUUUACACAAUUCAUUAAAAUGAUCGCUGGACAAAGUUUUAAGAAUCUAUUGCUUAGUUUUAUGUUUCCAGGAGUCAGGUUUGUACCGGAAAACUGUGAAAAGUGCUGGUAGAUUAAAAAGAAACCAUCCUUAACGGAAAGUUCUGUAUGUAUGAUGGCACCGACAUGAGCGGCGUGCUUUGCAAAACAUUUAGCCCGUUCCUUAGCGGGAAUGCCUAUGGGGAAUGGGUCCAAAUAAAGGUUAUGUAUUUUUAUGAGCAUUGUGUUUUGGAUUCUAUAAAUGGUUUUCUUGCUGCAAAUGGGAGUAGAUAUUGCUGGAAGCUUUCUAACACGUUUAAACCUUCUGUACUAUUGAGAGAGGUCAAAUUGGUUAGCGGUCACCUCACACCCGUUGAUAAAGCGCUUCGGUGCCGGUUCCGAAUAACCUGAGGUGUGUGAUCCGACUACCUGUAUUCUUUUACCAUGGUUACAGCGAUACCUAACAGUGGAACCUAAAAUUCGACGCCCUGAGUCGACGAUUUUUACCGCAUAAUUUGAAAACAUGUGCCCCAUAUACACAUUUUGUGCAUUGUUUGUUACGUGCGCCAAGGAGGCGGCUUGGGGAUGUUUCCCAUUCGGACUCCGGCCAACCCAGCCUUAUUCUCUAGGGUGUACUCCCAACCCGGAUACCAUCAGCCCCUGACACGCAACAUAAAAACUAGGAAACCAAAAUCAAAAUGAAGCUAAAAUAAAAGUGCAACAACAUCAAUGAAACCUAAACCCGAUGGCUUUAAGUUCGAACACAUUACUAUGAUCACUGCAUUUCUAUCAUACUCCCAGUGACCCCUAUGAACCGCCCACAUCCAUCACUUACCUCAUCCUUUUAAUCCUCCAUAUUUUGUUUAACAUUUUAUACUAUACUAUAUAAGUCACAUCAUGUUUAUUAAAAAAAAACUCCUAAUUCUAACAAAAAUCUUCAAUAUCGUCAAAGGUAUUUAUAAAUUUUCUUAAAAAUUUUAUACAAAAAACAAAAAAAAACCAAAAAAUUUUAAAUAAGAAGAAACACAAAAUAAUAAAAAGUUGUUUUAAAUUUAGUUUCUGUAAAGAUUUUUUAACGCAAACGCACUUCCUGUUAGGAAUGACUAAAUCGAACGGUCUUAAGACCAACAGACAAUAUCUCUUUACUUUUUUGAUGAUUGAGUUCAUCCACUGAUAAUAGUUGCAAAGCAAACAAAUACAGAAUUUAGACAAGAUGAAAAAAAUCUGUUUUAAAUAACACUUCCCACUCUAUUGUCCUCGUAAAAAGAGAUCUUUUCUGGAAGUCUGUUAAGGGCGAAUCAAUUAAAAUUAGCUUUGAAAUUGCUGUGGAGAAAAUCAUGCAAUCAUAAAAAAUCAAUAAAUAUAUACUUAUAAAUAAAUGAACAAAUAAAAUGUCGUUAAAUAUAAAUAUUAAUAAAUAGUUAAAUCAGGCAAAAUUAAUAAAUAAAAAAAACAUGUAAAAUUAAUAUAUAGUAAUUAAUAUAUAGCAAAAUUAAUAUAUGGAUAAAUCAUGCAAAUUAAAAAUUUAAAAAAACCGUGAAAAUCCGUUUCAAUUUGAUGUGGUCUCAGUUGAUGUGAUGUUUUGAUUUAGCCUUGGAAUUAGACUUAUGUUGUUUCUCAUUCCGUUAACAACAUUCCAAAGCAAUCACAGCGUUAUUUUAAGGAACUUGGUGUUAUUCUUGGGCUCCAGAAUUUAUAUAUAUUUAAAAAUAUUCAUUUUAGAAUAUUUUGACGUGCGCAAAUGCGGCGAAUUCGCCUGUUUUAAUUGACUUUGUAUCUCGGGCAAAUUAAUGUGUUGGUGCUGAAGUUGGAAUGAGUGGAUAUCAGAGAGACAACAGGUACUGACCCAUAGAUGGCGGUCGGUCAGUUUUUUUUUUUAUCUCAAAUAAAUGUUGGGAAAAUUUAAUUCCAACCUUUUCUAAAAAUAAAUCUUCAUGGACUUGCUUCCCGUCCUUCCGGGUCGCAACUACAUCCACUGAUUGGGGAUUGGGGACCGCUUCAUUUUUUCACAUGUGGAAGUCCGGUUAUCUCCACCAAAAGUCCUGGCUGAGCAUACCUAGGCAUGACAAUAGUGUCUUCCAUUAACAAAAGACAAGACACACAUCGGUGGCAAGGGACUGGGAUAACCUUUGCCACCCAAAGCACAAUAAUUAGCAAUGGGCAUGGCUAACCAUACCACCAUCCUAUAGUUACCCUCCUGAAGUGCCCCAAAAAACACAAACAUUGUCUAAUGAUAAAAUCCCCCCAUAUAUGUGGGAGUUAUGAAAAAAUUUUGCGUGGAUAUUGAGACCGCCACGGGAGAAAAAGGUCUCAACUUGAGACCUUUCCACGCAAAAUUUGUUUUUGUGUACAGGGCCGGAUUUGGUCUUUAGACGGUCCCCGCAACAAAACCCCAACGCUGCGUGGUCCUCGACCUUGGUAGUUUCUGCAGCCAACGUGGGAAACUCUCACAGCCUGAGAUAAAGCCGGACCAUAACUUUAGGGAAGUAUAAAUAUGCCAUUUUUCGACGUAAUUCAAUUACAUUUGUGAAAUGUGUGUAUCGUUUCAGGUGUAUGGACGAACCAGCUUAGGGCUUCUGGGCAAGGAUGGAUCUACUGUGGUAUCUCAAACUGUAAAUCCUUAUUUUAAAAUACCUCCCAAAUAUUUAAAUUGGGUAUAGCCCAUAAUUAGUGGAGAGUGUAAAAAUAAAGUCGGACAAUUACGUUCAUAAAAGAUUCAGGAGGAUUAAAAGUCGAGGCGGUUUUAAAGCCCUCAAAAUGGUUUUCAAUGAUGUUGAUGCUAACAAUUGAUACGUAGAUACUACUACAACCUUUUUUGUGACUGGAUAUGCUCUACCAACGGCAGUAUCCCUCAAUCCCACUGUAAUAGAUACAUCAACCUUAGAUACGUUAUGCUUAUAUCUGUAUAUGUAUGUAGAAUUGAAUCACUACAACAAGUACUAAGCUGAUACUAUAUUUUUUAAAUCAUCAUACGUUUUGCUACUACCUCGUGUAAACCUAUAACACUGUAGGACAAAUAAUAUGAUGGGUUGUACUCGUCAUGACCUUCCUUAACCUAAUGCAUCGUUGGAAAAAAAUUGAAUAAAAAUAAAUACAAAAUAAUAAAAA